GGAGAAGAGAAGCUGAUGGCGCCACGAGGUCAGCUUCAAAAAGGCUAGGCGGAGUGUAGAAUAUUUCUUUCUCUCCCAAACGCCAAAAAAAUAUGAAACUUUUCUCUCCUGCUUUUAACCUUCUUCUUCUUCUGACGUACCUGAGACAAAUGUCACAUCCUGUCUUGAAUGGGCUGGUGUCAACUAUUCCAUAAGAGCACUUUUGCUGCUGAACGAGU